UACGAAGGGGGCUAGCGUUGCUCGGAAUCACUGGGCGUAAAGGGUGCGUAGGCGGGGCUUUAAGUCAGGGGGGAAAUCCUGGAGCUCAACUCCAGAACUGCCUUUGAUACUGAAGAUCUUGAGUUCGGGAGAGGUGAGUGGAACUGCGAGUGUAGAGGUGAAAUUCGUAGAUAUUCGCAAGAACACCAGUGGCGAAGGCGGCUCACUGGCCCGAUACUAACGCUGAGGCACGAAAGCGUGGGGAGCAAACAGG
rnacentral:rRNA from 1 species